ensembl:lncRNA
AUCUGAAACAGGACGAGCUUUUGAUGCUACCUCCUUAUGACAGACACAUUUUAAAAACCACCGCUGGUCUGGCUGUAUACCAGUGAGGAGGCAAGGAUUGCCAUGAUACUCUCCCCAUUUGGGCUUCUUAGUUCCCUGGUGAGCUGUCCAUCUGGGCACUUGGCCUGGCAAGUGUCAGACUACAGCAACAACAGGUAAGUGGAAUCUUUCUGGUUUAGCCUUUGAAUUUUUAAGUUAUCCAUCAACAAGGGUGUGUUCCAGGAGAGCCCUACAUCUGCCCUCCACAUUGAAAUGCAAAGUACAGAGCAUCUGGAACACUUAAAAGAGAGUCUUCACCAACCAAACUGCACAAAUUAUCCUGGUCUUCUGGAUGAAAAGUCACCAUAACUAAUGAAUUAGGCCAGUGGUUUUCCCAAUGUCUGGAAGCUAUGGAAACUUCUUGCCAUAUUAUUUUUCAACCAGAGAAUGAACCCCUGUUGUUUGGGCAAGGCAUAGUGAUGGCAGACUAGAUACAAAUUAAGUGUGUAGCUAAUAACCACAAUAAUGUAAAGGAAAACAGCAUUGAAUGACUUUGGAAAGCUGAUCAAUGCAGAGACCAAUUAUGACCUCCCAGGGCUAAUGAUGAAGAAUGCCUCCUGCCUCUGGACAGGAAGGUAGUGAAUUAUAGGUGUGGACUGAGGCAUGGCCAUGUAUUGAUUUGUUUUACUUAACUGUGUUUACUUGUUACAAGGGAAGAUUCUAUUGGAAGGGGUAGGAAUGGCUGGAUACUAACAAUAAUGUUUUUGAAAAAGUGUACUUUUCAAUAACAUUUCUUUUUUAAUUUAAUUUAAUAAUAAUAAAAUAUUUUAAUGAUAAUUGUGUAUUCCA